rnacentral:rRNA from 1 species
AUCUUGCGCAAUGGGGGAAACCCUGACGCAGCAACGCCGCGUGAGUGAGGAAGGCCUUCGGGUCGUAAAGCUCUGUCAGAUGGGAAGAAAUGGACGGGGGCUAAUAUCGUCCAUCCUUGACGGUACCAUCAGAGGAAGCACCGGCUAACUCCGUGCCAGCAGCCGCGGUAAUACGGGGGGUGCGAGCGUUGUUCGGAAACAUUGGGCGUAAAGCGCGCGCAGGCGGCUUGGUCAGUCAGAUGUGAAAGCCCUGGGCUAAACCCAGGAAGUGCAUUUGAUACUGCCUCGCUAGAGUACGGGAGAGGAAAGUGGAAUUCCUGGUGUAGAGGUGAAAUUCGUAGAUAUCAGGAGGAACACCGGUGGCGAAGGUGACUUUCUGGCCCGGUACUGACGCUCAGGCGCGAAAGCGUGGGGAGCAAACAG